rnacentral:rRNA from 1 species
AGGACGAACGCUGGCGGCAGGCUUAACACAUGCAAGUCGAGCGGGCGUAGCAAUACGUCAGCGGCAGACGGGUGAGUAACGCGUGGGAACAUACCUUUUGGUUCGGAACAACACAGGGAAACUUGUGCUAAUACCGGAUAAGCCCUUACGGGGAAAGAUUUAUCGCCGAAAGAUUGGCCCGCGUCUGAUUAGCUAGUUGGUGAGGUAACGGCUCACCAAGGCGACGAUCAGUAGCUGGUCUGAGAGGAUGAUCAGCCACAUUGGGACUGAGACACGGCCCAAACUCCUACGGGAGGCAGCAGUGGGGAAUAUUGGACAAUGGGCGCAAGCCUGAUCCAGCCAUGCCGCGUGAGUGAUGAAGGCCCUAGGGUUGUAAAGCUCUUUUGUACGGGAAGAUAAUGACGGUACCGCAAGAAUAAGCCCGGCUAACUUCGCGCCAGCAGCCGC